rnacentral:rRNA from 1 species
AAACCAGCACCUCAAGUGGUCAGGAUGAUUAUUGGGCCUAAAGCAUCCGUAGCCGGCUCUGUAAGUUUUCGGUUAAAUCUGUAUGCUCAACAUACAGGCUGCCGGGAAUACUGCAGAGCUAGGGAGUGGGAGAGGUAGACGGUACUCGGGAGGAAGGGGUAAAAUCCUUUGAUCUCUCGAUGACCACCUGUGGCGAAGGCGGUCUACCAGAACACGUCCGACGGUGAGGGAUGAAAGCUGGGGGAGCAAACCGGAUUAGAAACCCGGGUAGUCC